rnacentral:rRNA from 1 species
UACGUAGGCAGCGAGCGUUGUUCGGAAUUACUGGGCGUAAAGAGUGUGUAGGCGGUGCUCUAAGUUCGGUGUGAAAUCUCCCGGCUUAACUGGGAGGGUGCGCCGGAAACUGGAAUGCUCGAGCGUGGGAGAGGAAAGCGGAAUUCCUGGUGUAGCGGUGAAAUGCGUAGAUAUCAGGAGGAACACCUGCGGUGUAGACGGCUUUCUGGACCAUUGCUGACGCUGAGACACGAAAGCGUGGGGAGCAAACAGG